AAAGCAACAGCAAUGUGCAAGAAUCCUGGAGGCCCACAACGAGAAAGGGGAGACAAGCUGAAGUGACUGUCUCUCCCAUCUCCCAUUGUCCAAACAGGAAGGCAGAAAUCAAGGGCACCCCUGGCACAGAACACAGAGAGGUUGACAGCACAGCUGGGAGAUCAUGUCCCUGUCCUGACACGGUUCAGCUUACAGUAAAGAUUUGCACCCCUUCCGCCUGACCCUGGAACCCUCGGCCUUAACUCCAGGAAGCACUCUGCAGCCUCAUCCGCAAGCAGGUCUCAACAGGUACCAGGAAAGCCAAGGUGACAAAUGGCCUGAGGGACACCUUGUGUCAGCUCAUUGGGACUGAAUGAAUGAAGCAGCUUUUGCAAAAGAAACUGAAAUCACGGAGCAGCCUGUGAUUCUAGCAAGUGAGGAGGCCACAGGUUUUCUAUUCUACAUGCUGGGUGCUCGAGGGUGAGUGAAACGGACUGAGGUACAAGGGGUAACAAUAGACUCUUUAUCCUUCUAAAGCCAAGCCCACACACCAGAUGACAACAGCUAUAUUUACUCACUGACGUAAUUAACCAGAAUGUGAACGGCUUCAAGCAAUGUUUAAAAUCAAAGAGUAUUUUAUAGGGUCUGAUGCGAACUGAGUCCGAUGG
rnacentral:lncRNA from 1 species